rnacentral:rRNA from 1 species
GUUGUUUCGGGCCAGCGGACCCCGUCCUCUCCAGCGUCGGACGUCUUUGACCUCCGUCGCUCGUACCGCUGCGGCACCUUGUCGAGGAGCUCGUGCUCGUCGGACACCCGGCGGGACCCCGUCCGGAGGUCGCACCGUGUCGAUCAGCCGCACCUGCGCGAACCCGAGCAGAGGUACCACCACGUCCGGCGCGACCGCCGCGCGGCGGUGGCCCUGCGGACGCACGCGGAGCGCGUCGUGCAGCUCGAGCAGACGGCAGCCCCCGGACGAGCCCCUCGACCUUGAGCUGCUCGACUACGCCGCCCUCCGGUGGUCCGCCGGUGACCUCGUCGAGCCGCGGCGCAACGCCGCCACGAUACGCGAGCGAUGCCACACGGUCCUGACGCCGAUGGAGGCCGCAGACGAGGACCCGCCUGUAUACCGGCUGCUCGAGGCGCGGCGCGUCUUGCUCUAACUGUACAAGUAGGCGGAGUAGGGCGAGUAGCGGGAACACCUGUUAAGCUGUUUGUCAGCAGCACGGUUCCAGCUCCUCCCCCACGAGUCACAUCAGUGUCUAUCAAGUUUAGUAGUGUAGUCUAAAGGUCGUUCUCUAAACCUCAAGUGGUUUUAUACGUAAGUUCCACGAUGUCUUGAAGCGUUACAAGUUCUUGUCGGUAAACAUCCAUUCAUCAAUGAAGAUACUUAAAGGAUUACGCCAAUUAGUACCUGAGCCUGUACCCUUCAUUAUCUGACUUCAAAGUACUGUCAGAAUAAAAGAAGUUCAUAAAGCCUUAUCGAAACAAUACAGACACACGCCAACCGUCAACAACGUGGAACGACGAGUCCGAGAACCCGUAUAAUGUUGUCUCUCUUAUUUUUACAGGUAUACUUACUAAAACUAUAAUAAAAAACAGUAUACACGUAUGAAAUAGUACUCAUCUGUAACACAGUGACGUAUCUUAGAGUGGCACCGGUUUGAAAUCAAUUAUUUGUGUAGAGUACUUUUUCUUGAUCAAUCACCUUCGUUGUAUACGAAGCCUAUCUGAUACUUGAAGCUUGGGAUGAAGUUUGAUGACUUGUAUGUUAAGAUGUCAACUCUUUAAGUAACGGAGUAAAUUUUUUUACCAAAAUCGUGUACAAGUGAGUUCAUCAAUGGUGCACUUUUUACAAUACACUCACCGUCUUUGAACUAGACGCAUAACGUACCGAACAUAAUGUUAGAGGUAAAAAAAAGCAUUCUACCCUCAGGGAUUGAUCCUACUCAACUACUAGAUACGUUAUCUGUUUAACCUCGCACGAGAAAUGUUUAAACGUAAGAGAACCGGUACAGGUACAGAGAAACGCUAGGGUAAACCACUAUUGACUGUUCCUAUCGAAGGUGCUCAGUCCGUUUCACCUGGACGUUCUCGUCUUUUAGAGGUUGCAACUUCUUGAAUACCUCGAAACACGGGUAUAUCUUCGCUGAACGUACCCUAAGAGUUUCAAGUUGAAGAAAGUCUAGUACCUACCAUGUCCUUUAAAGAGUCUUUUCCGUUAUUAACCUGCCCCACCUAAACGGUGCCAAAUGUUCACACUCAACAGGCUACCUCAAUGCCAACGGUAGUUCUCUCGAGUACUCACGCGUUGUCAGCCGUCACUUAACGUCGAACGUUUCGAAGUCGUAUGGUUAGACUAAUCCAAUGAACCCACCACGUAAGUACUCUUUCUUUCCUAAGACCAGAUACUCAAGUACGUGUUACCAAGGAACCUGCCAGUGUAUAUGCUGUCUUGUUUUCCCAGUAACGAUCUGACCAGAUUCGCUGAGUUCUAUUAGUUUCCCAAUUAUCUCCCCGAACAAAUAUACGUGUUUCCGAGGUACAAUACCUAACAGUUAUCCCUGAACUUUGGUUUAUUAUAGGAGAACCUAAUAUUGAACUUGGGUUCCUAACGACUAAAACCUAGUCGAUCUCGUGACUCAAGUCUUCAUCGUCUUCUCGUAUGUUUGUACCAACACCCGUGAACACCAAUGUUUCGAGGCCUCAUACGUAGAGCUCCUCAAAUGAGUCACUUCUGCCUACACAAGUCAAAGCCGCAGAACCAAGACCGUUAGUAUUGGCCUGCCUUCUUAUGGUAUGAGCUGUCUGCUCCCCUAUGACAACCACUAGAACACGCGCUGCGGACCGUAUACACCUUCCUGUUUUCUAACGUACUCGAACAACUAGGCAGAGAUCCCUUGUCUAUACUUUAGCGGCUCUAUUGCGCGACACGAGUGUACCGUGAGGAAACACGGGUCCUUCUAGGUCGUCUAGCCAGGUGGUACUGUCUACAACGACGGUACGACUUAAGACUUUCGUACUCGAAUAGUUACCUCGGAUUCGUCGGAUGUCACGACUCAUUUCCUUCACUACCACUUUCGUGCCGUAGAUGUAUGUACCCGGUUAGUUCGUCCUGUUAUCUGUAUUGGUAGUGCUCGAGUCGAGGGUACAGCUGAUCUCAAGCUUAGUAAGACCUGGGCCUCCAAACUAUACUUCUUUUAUUAAAUUACCACCGUAGUAUAUAGGUAUAUAUCAACUUUACACUUAUUCCCAGUAACCGUAAGUCAGCAGGUCCUAUCACCUGGUUAAGGUCUAUAAUGACAGUUCCCCGUUAAAAAAAGGGAAACAGUUCGGUAAAAACACUUUUAUAGAGAUAGAGAUAGAAGAGAAGAGAUAGAGAUGAUGGAUUUUCUUUACCUCACAAGGAAAAGGGGAGAAUGCAACGGGCAAGAAGCAGGUUGGAGAGCAUGCUGGGGGAGAGGGGACAUCGCUAAAAGAAAGGGG